AAAUAUGCACAAACUCGUAUUUUAUGUGUAUAAAUAAGAAGAAGUUGGCGACAUUGACUGAAAAAUGUCUCCCAGCUGGAACCAAGCUAGUUUAAAAUUGCAUAUUCUAUUCUAUAGUGUAUUUUAAAUAGCCUAAUACUCACUAAUGAUGAAUUUGUGUUCAUAUUUAAGUAUAUAAAAUAUAGCAUAAGUUAUGUACAAGGCAAAACAUUUUCUGUCAACUACAGUGUUUUGUGGGUUUUUUUUUCGCUAGCUAGGAAACUAAUACUACAGAUUUGCUCCUAUUAUUGUAGUAGAAUCAACUCCAAUCAGUUCAUGGUUUGAAUAUUAUUAGAAACCAGGAGCUAAAACAAAGCAUUUCUGACAGAAAGUGAGAAGAGGUGCUGCAGCAGUGUACAGUAUAAGAAAAAAAAAUGAAUUUUUGAACAUAAAAGCCUGUAAACAUAUUCUAGUAGGCCCCAAAAUAGAAAUAUGAAUCCAUAAAUGAGUACAAUAUGGGCUCUUUAACUUGUCAAAGUCACAGCAAACUGGUGAAUAGAGGUAUACAUUGAUAGACUACUUCAUAUGAAAGAAGGGGAGGAGAAGGAAUAUUAGCAUCUGUAUCUGCUGUAUGCCUCUGUUUACUAUCUGAAAAGUUGAUAAAUGGUUGGUUUUGCGUGUUCAGCUUGUUUCUGCUGCCCCCAAGUGACCAAAAAGCUAUACUGUAAGUUUAAUAUUCCCUGACUUUAUCCACCUUCUUUCAUAUAAUGCUACUAAUCUGCAUUUUCAUGCUGAUUUGGCUUUUACAGUGGCACCUCAUCAGUUCUUAUAACUACAGGACACAAGAAAGUCAACUAUUCUUACUGUCAAAACUUUGAUACUGAAGCUUUCUCAUUCUAUCAUCCCAAUUGUAAGAAAACAGGUUGAAUGUAUCCCUCAAAGCAAACUCUAAGGUCAGGAAGAAUAUCUGUGGUCAGGUCGUAGGAGCUUCUUUUAUUGUUAUUUUUUGUUUAAUAAAUAGGUCAUUUCAUAAUUGUGUUGAUAGUGCAUGUUAAAGUAUUUUAUCAGAGCCACAAUGUGAUGUAACACUGUAGAUUUGCUGUACAUGUGGUGUGUGAACUGGGAUUAUGCAAAGAAAGAUGCUUCUCAGUUUGAAAUUUCACAUUAUUCCAGCAGUACAGGACAGUCAAAUCGAUAUUUAAGUCAUCUGGUAUCUAACUUUAAGGAUGUUACUACAGUUUUUAAGGUAUUGAUAAGACUGAUGUACCACAGACCAGCAUGCAUUGAUUCUCCCUGAAAGCCAUGGAUUACUGCAGUUACUUCAUAAUUCCUUUAAAGAGCUCUGUUUUAAAAUCCAAACUCCCGUUCAUGUAACUGUUUUGUAUUUUGAAUUCCUCUAACAUCAACCUAGACCUUCUUUAUCGGGAUCUCUUAGUGUCAUGUAGGAUUCUGUAUUCUUUAACCUCAACUUUAAUGUCAUCUGCUCAGAAAUCCCAGCUAAGGUCACUUUAUGAUAAAAGAUGAAGAUGUAUUUUCUUGUAAAUAAAACGAUACAGUGCGACUUCAAAAAA
ensembl:lncRNA